rnacentral:rRNA from 1 species
CGCCAGACUCCUACGGGAGGCAGCAGUGGGGAAUAUUGCACAAUGGGGGAAACCCUGAUGCAGCGACGCCGCGUGAGUGAAGAAGUAUUUCGGUAUGUAAAGCUCUAUCAGCAGGGAAGAAAAUGACGGUACCUGAUUAAGAAGCCCCGGCUAACUACGUGCCAGCAGCCGCGGUAAUACGUAGGGGGCAAGCGUUAUCCGGAUUUACUGGGUGUAAAGGGAGCGUAGACGGUGAUGCAAGUCAGAAGUGAAAGCCCGGGGCUCAACUCCGGGACUGCUUUUGAAACUGUGUAACUGGGGUGCAGGAGAGGUAAGCGGAAUUCCUGGUGUAGCGGUGAAAUGCGUAGAUAUCAGGAGGAACACCAGUGGCGAAGGCGGCUUACUGGACUGUAACUGACGUUGAGGCUCGAAAGCGUGGGGAGCAAACAGGAUUAGAUACCCCCGUA